rnacentral:rRNA from 1 species
GUGGGGAAUUUUGGACAAUGGGCGCAAGCCUGAUCCAGCCAUGCCGCGUGCAGGAUGAAGGCCUUCGGGUUGUAAACUGCUUUUGUACGGAACGAAAAGACUCCUUCUAAUAAAGGGGGUCCAUGACGGUACCGUAAGAAUAAGCACCGGCUAACUACGUGCCAACAGCCGCGGUAAUACGUAGGGUGCAAGCGUUAAUCGGAAUUACUGGGCGUAAAGCGUGCGCAGGCGGUUAUAUAAGACAGAUGUGAAAUCCCCGGGCUCAACCUGGGAACUGCAUUUGUGACUGUAUAGCUAGAGUACGGUAGAGGGGGAUGGAAUUCCGCGUGUAGCAGUGAAAUGCGUAGAUAUGCGGAGGAACACCGAUGGCGAAGGCAAUCCCCUGGACCUGUACUGACGCUCAUGCACGAAAGCGUGGGGAGCAAACAGGAUUAGAUACCCUGGUAGUCC